rnacentral:rRNA from 1 species
UACAGAGGUCUCAAGCGUUGUUCGGAUUCAUUGGGCGUAAAGGGUGCGUAGGCGGCGCCGUAAGUCGGGUGUGAAAUUUCGGAGCUUAACUCCGAAACUGCAUUCGAUACUGCGGUGCUUGAGGACUGGAGAGGAGACUGGAAUUCAUGGUGUAGCAGUGAAAUGCGUAGAGAUCAUGAGGAACACCAGUGGCGAAGGCGGCUUUCUGGUCUGUAACUGACGCUGAGGCGCGAAAGCGUGGGGAGCAAACAGG